rnacentral:misc_RNA from 1 species
AAACAUCAAACCCCACUGGCUUUGCGGUCGGUGCGGUUUGGACUUGGGGGUUCUUUGCUGCCGCUUGCGGUGGCUCCCCUUAAAUGAAUCGGUCGGGCUUUCGUGUGGCUUGUCCCUUGGCGUUGUAUUACCCUCGUCGCUGGACGGCCCGCGUGUUUGCGCCCCUCCUUGACUUGCCUUCGGAGUGGCGGUCAAUUGCUUUGUG